rnacentral:rRNA from 1 species
UACGUAGGGUGCGAGCGUUGUCCGGAAUUACUGGGCGUAAAGAGCUCGUAGGUGGUUUGUCGCGUUGUCCGUGAAAACUCACAACUCAAUUGUGGGCGUGCGGGCGAUACGGGCAGACUGGAGUACUGCAGGGGAGACUGGAAUUCCUGGUGUAGCGGUGUAAUGCGCAGAUAUCAGGAGGAACACCGGUGGCGAAGGCGGGUCUCUGGGCAGUAACUGACGCUGAGGAGCGAAAGCGUGGGGAGCGAACAGG